rnacentral:tRNA from 1 species
GGCGCAUUCUUCUAACGGUUAGGAAAUCUGAUUCUCAAUCAGGAAAUAGCAGUCCGAUUCUGCUAUGCGCUA